AUUUAUGCAACUAACAUAAUACAAUUACCUCACAAUGCUGAAUACGUUAAACAGACCCUUACACAGUUUGGAGCUCAUCCUUCUGGGAUCAAGGAUUUCUGGAGUUUAAAGUGGAAUGGUAGAGCAUAAGCGGUGGCGGUUGAAGCAAGAUUUCCUACACAGGAAAUGACUUAGCAGUUUACCCCCUCGUAGUGUCAUAAUUCAUCACUCGAUCUACGUCCAACCUCCGCUGAGACCUUGCAUGCAGUUCGGUGAUAUGUCUUCAAGGCAGCAAUGACGACUGGAGACUGGAUGGAAAGUCCGUUUGCCUUAUUUGGGGAUUGCGUAGUGGAAGACCUUCGACCUUUUCUGAUUGCUCAUGACGAGGCAAGGCGCCAUAUCUGAGAAGCUUAACCGCAGGACUGCAGUCUGUAAGCACACCAACGGAUCGAAGUGGUCAGUACCCAUUAGAUCUAUGCAAACACGAUCUCUAUAUGUCAUAAAAGGUGGAUUGAAAUGUAGAACCACUACCAGUGUCAAGAGCAAAACACUUGUUGUAAUCUUUUGGAAUUGCUACUGGAAAUAAAAAUUGUAGUAAUUUUAAUAUGGGUUUUCCUAACCAGAGCAUGCUGCUUUUGGCUGCUUCCUGUUGCCAAAACUUUAAAGUUAGAUCCGCAGGAGUUCUUUUUUUUGAGAGUUCCCAUUCCACCUCCGCCCAGGUCUAAGGUAGCACAGUAAAAGUAGACUAUUAGUAUCGAUACUAUCUGUAAAAUACCAAAUCAUAAUCAUAAUUUAUUUAAUCAUAAACUUGUUAAUUUUUUAAAGG